ensembl:lncRNA
AGUAUGCAGAAUGAGUAUAUUUCCUCCUCCUCUUUAGUUUUUUUCUUCCUAUUUAUUUUUAUUUUGAAAAAUUUCUACACCGUCUUUGAAUUCCUUGUAUGAAUAUUUGUUUCUUAGAAGUUAAUUUGUGUGAAAUGAGAUUCUUCAAAACAAUGAAACCUCAUAGCUCUGAGAAAAGGUUUUAGGCUUUUAAAUUCUAAGCAAACUGUGACUGUGGCUGACUGACUACACAUUUAAUUAUCCAGCUUCUCUUUCUUAACCACAGGCAGAUUAACCUCAUUGUGGAUUGUCCUUGAGACCUUAGUCCUCAGGGAUGGUUUCUGGUGCCCACUCCUGGAAGCCGCUGUUCCCUUUCUACCUUCUUACCAGAGCCCAAGGGCAGGCCUGGUCUCGGGGAAGCAGCAGCUUGCCGACGUGGGUCAGCUGCAAAGCCUGAGGGGUGUGGCCUCAGGGAAGCCCGCCCCAAUCCUGCCCCAGAGCCCAGAGUCGCAGCUCCCAGGGAUGCUCCUUCCCUGGGAGUGGCCCAGGAGAGGGACUCUGGCAGUGUUCUUCAGAUUUGUGGCCACUGUUUCUCAUUUGCUGGUUGACUGUUUUUAUUUCUUAGGCUUUUGCUAGUUUUAGAAAAUAGGGAAGCAGCCCGUGAUUUGUGGAUCAAAAGCAACAUUUGAGCGAUGAUGCACAACAGUCCAGGAAAAGGGGCAGUGGACCCUUGAGGCUGAGGAUGGGAGUCGACAUGGGCGGGGAGAGGGAGGUGCGCUCUGCUUAUCUGUGACUGUUGCUCACCUGAGUGUGGCUGAUUGUGUACAUCCAGCAGUUACAAUUUUUAAAAAUUUUAGAGUUAUUCUAUAUUUUUCUCACCCCCAGUAAUUUCCUUCCAAAUAAGUUCACAUGUAAUAAGUAGAAAUACUGUAUAGGAAAAAAGCAUUAAAAAUACUAUUAUAACUGCUUCAUUUGCUGGGAACCAUUAAAAGUAUUGUAAAUUAGCUUUUUCCAGAAGGAUCCUUUGUAGCAGUGUUCAGGAAUGUAACCCCCAGCAAAAUGUGGCUAUAUAUUAGGGAAGCCAGUCUGGAGCAGAGGCCUGAAGGUCCCUGCUAUGCAGCCGUGGCCACAGCUCACCGCACCAGCGCUGUGGAGCACCCGCACCUUCGAUGGCAAUGCAGAGUGGUAGCAGGCUCCAUAGGCGUAACAAAACAGUAUUAAAGCUCAGCGUUUUGCAUACUUUUAGCAUUUAAAAAUAUUUUUGCUUUAGUGUGAGGAAAGUAAGGAUGGGCAAAGAGGCGAUCAAAAUAGCUAUAGCUAUGACAUUUUAGAAAACAAAGUCGGGGCCGUAUUUCUUUAAAAAGAUAAGCCUCUAAAAAUGCUUGGCUGAAAAAGUACAGUGUUAAAAUAGGCAGUGAUAUUAAUGAGAAAAUGAAAGUAUGUAUCAGGAAUAAAGUGAUAUUGCAUAGGAGUAUUGUAUUUUUAUGAAUUUUAUGCCAGUUGUUUACAUGUACUAUAUAUGUUAAAUAAAAAUCAUUAAAAA